CAGUUCGGAUUGCAGCCUGCAACUCGGCUGCAUGAAGCUGGAAUCGCUAGUAAUCGCGGAUCAGAAUGCCGCGGUGAAUACGUUCCCGGGUCUUGUACACACCGCCCGUCACACCAUGGGAGCCGGAAACGCCCGAAGCCAGCGGCCCAACCGCAAGGGGGAGCUGUCGAAGGCGGGUCCGGUGACCGGGGUGAAGUCGUAACAAGGUAGC
rnacentral:rRNA from 1 species